rnacentral:rRNA from 1 species
CCUGGCCUUGACAUACUAAGAACUUUCCAGAGAUGGAUUGGUGCCUUCGGGAACUUAGAUACAGGUGCUGCGUGGCUGUCGUCAGCUCGUGUCGUGAGAUGUUGGUUAAGUCCCGNAACGAGCGCAACCCUUUUCCUUAUUUGCCAGCGGGUCAUGCCGGGAACUUUAAGGAUACUGCCAGUGACAAACUGGAGGAAGGCGGGGACGACGUCAAGUCAUCAUGGCCCUUACGGCCAGGGCUACACACGUGCUACAAUGGUCGGUACAAAGGGUUGCUACCUCGCGAGAGGAUGCUAAUCUCAAAAAGCCGAUCGUAGUCCGGAUCGCAGUCUGCAACUCGACUGCGUGAAGUCGGAAUCGCUAGUAAUCGCGGAUCAGAAUGCCGCGGUGAAUACGUUCCCGGGCCUUGUACACACCGCCCGUCACACCAUGGGAGUUUGUUGCACCAGAAGUAGGUAGUCUAACCGCAAGGAGGACGCUUACCACGGUGUGGCCGAUGACUGGGGUGAAGUCGUAACAAGGUAGGCGUAGAUGA